CCGAGUUUACAACUCCCAAACCCCUGUGAACAUACCAUUUGUUGCCUCGGCGGUGCCUGCUUCGGCAGCCCGCCAGAGGACCCAAACCCUUGAUUUUAUACAGUAUCUUCUGAGCAACUAUAAAAAAGUUA
rnacentral:misc_RNA from 1 species